AAGUCGGUCCCAAGGGUAUGGCUGUUCGCCAUUUAAAGUCGGUACGCGAGCUGGGUUUCAGAACGUCGUGAGACAGUUCGGUCCCUAUCUGCCGUGGGCGUUGGAUGAUUGAAGGGAGUUGCUCCUAGUACGAGAGGACCGGAGUGAACGAACCUCUGGUGUUCGGGUUGUCACGCCAGUGGCACUGCCCGGUAGCUAAGUUCGGAAUCGAUAACCGCUGAAAGCAUCUAAGCGGGAAGCGAGCCCUGAGAUGAGUCAUCCCUGACCCCUUGAGGGUCCUAAAGGGCCGUUGGAGACCACAACGUUGAUAGGUGGGGUGUGUAAGCGCAGUGAUGUGUUGAGCUAACCCAUACUAAUUACCCGUGAGGCUUAACCAUACAACACCCAAGAAGUGUUCUG
rnacentral:rRNA from 1 species